CAUAAGUCUUCUCCCAUUCAGUAGGCUGUCUUUUAGUUUUGUUGGUCGUUUCUUUUGCUGUGCAGGAGCUUUUUAUUUUGAUGUAGUCCCAACAGUUUAUUUGUCCAUUGGUUUUUAAAGGACUUACAUUCAGGUUGGGAGAUAAUAUAAAUCUAAGAAAUGCUUUUUCAAGGUAGAAGAAAACAACCUAGUAUUUCAGAAGUGCAGAGGGAAAACUCAUUUUACUAGAUGAAUCAGAAAAAGCUUUGUGGAGGAUGUGGCCUCCAAGCUAGCUUGGAGGUUCGUGACCUAUAUGGAUGUACGUAGGGAAGGCAUUCCAUGUGGAGGGAAUACGAGGAACAAAGCAAGGAUGCUGGAAAGAACAGCAUAUGUUGGGGAAGGAGAAGUUUAAUCUGUUAUUAAGGGGCCUCUUGAGAGAUGAGGCUGGUGUCACGUUGGUUAAGGGUAGACAGAGAAUAGCAAUACGCUGAGGUAAGAAGAUAAGACUAUCCUGUAUGCAUGGAAUCCGUUGAAGGGUUUUGAUAAGAGACUGACAAAAUCAAAGGUGAUUCGAAAAUAAUUAUGUGGCUCCAUAGUGGGAGGUGAAUUUUAUAGAGAGAGACUGUAGACAGGGAGACUGAUGAAGGCAAUAACAAUGAGAAUAAUGGCAGAUAUUUAUUGAGCACUUACAAAAAUGCUAUGCAAUAUCUUUAUUUGCAGUAUCUUGUUUAUUGCUCACAAAAGUUGUAUUUUUCACAAAUAAGGAAAUCUAAGCUUAGAAAGAAUAAAUAACUUGUCCAGGUUCACCCAUUGUGACAGAGCUGGAAGUUGAACCGUUCCUGUCUGUAGCAGCUGGUCCACGAAUUAGCUAUAAUCUGAAAAUGUUAGCAGUGGAAUUAGAGAAGAUCCAAGAAAUGAUGCUCUUUAUAAAUAGUAGUAUUUUUGUACUUUAUGUUUCAGGUGAAAAAUGAAAAGGCAACAAAUAUCACCAUAGUUGGGCUAAAUUCCUGGAUUAUCUUCUUAAAUAUUGAUCUUACUGUGUAUCUCCUACAUACUUUCUUAUAGUGAAGAAAUAAGACACCCGUAAGCAAAAUACAGUUGCUACAGCUUUGCCUCAGUUUAUAAAAACUGAUAUACCAAAAUGGGGAAAGGGUUUAGAUGCUAGUUGGCCUUGGCCUUCUACUUGGACUCUUCAGAAAGCUCACAGAAGAAAGGAGCAACAGUGCUGGCUUAGAGGUGUUGUCAUCCCCUCCCGCCUCCAGUCAUCUAGGAGGACUUAUUCUUCCUGUAGCUUCAAAUACCGCGGUACCUCACCACACCCCAGUUUGAGAAACACGUGGACAGAACUGUGAAGAGAGUUGCGGAAUUCCAGGCUCGGGGUAACUCAUGAGCGAAGCCCUGACGGGUGAAAGGCAGUCUGUGGAGAAGUGCGAAGUGGGGCUCUGUGCAGAGUAGUCAUGUGGACUUGGAUGCCACCAUGAGGAGCUGGAGAGAUACAGUGGGCAAGAGCACUGGUGCAGAUUUAGAAGGAAGGAAACCAAGAUGCUGGUUCUCUCUCUGCUACUCCCUUCGCCUUGUGGCCUUGGGCGAAGCGCUGAAAUCUGGACUCUGGUUUCCUUUCCGGAGAAAGGCAAUACCAGAAUAAGUGGCCAUAAGUUUCCUUUUGGCUGUAAUACUUUGUGAUUCAUUAUGAGCUAGGAAAAUACAUUAGCUUGUUAAAGAGUCCCCAUGUUUCAUAAUUUACAAAUUUAAUCUGGUCGGUGCUCUUAAUAUUAUUACUGGCCACCUGCUGCUGAAAAUACACGAUAUCUAUUUCAAGGCAAUGAGUAUAUUUAUGCUUUUAAGAAUUUCAUGGGGGGUUGGGGGAGGAAAAGAAUAUCACUGUGAAAUCUAGGCCUGCCAUCUUAUGGACUCUAAAUGGUACUACCAAAAUACAGGGAAGUAUGUCAGGAGAUGAUUUCUGCACACAUCAAGAGAAUCCCUGCUUACGUGUAUGUAGCUCAUUGCCAAAGAAGUUCAUACAGUAUUUUAAAAUGUAUUUGAUAAUUCUUAGUUUUAACUCUCUUGUAAAGAAUUGAAAUAAAUCUAAGAAAGCCCCUACCUCCAAUUUUAAUCGUUUAUUGAUCCCAAUAAUUAUUUUCCAGGCCACAUUUCAUUUUCUAAAUGGCUAUUGCUAGUUAUUUUGCUUUUGAAAUUGGAACAAAAGAAUGUUCUUUGAAAUGAUGGUGCAGAAGUGCUGGAGUGCAUAUUUUAUCCACGAUGGUGAAAUGUAAUAGUCGUCCUUUUCUCUUUUGUAUGGCUGAGAAAUGAUGAGAAUAGAUGGUUUUCCAUUGCAACUAGGAUGAGCAUUUGUGGAAUUUACUCCUUCCAUCCCCUGCUGCUGCACCUCAGCAUUUAUCUUCUGUCGCGUAAAAAAUUCACAGCACAGAACUUUUGUUCAUAGUGAACGUGGGGGAGUUACACAGUAACAAACAUUUUCAACUCUUUCGAAACUGUAACUUUAAAAUAUCGCAAAUAAAAGACCAAGGAUAAAAGACUGCAUCCCUAGUAAAUGAUGGGAUUUGUCUCUAGUUACACUUUGUUUUGUCCAAAACAGAUCCAAAUAAAAUUAUUCAGCCUCCCUUCCCAAUAAUAUAAUUUGAGACACUGAACUAUCCUAAAGGUUGCUUUUAACGGGCAUUCUGAAAUUUUCUCUGGGGCAAAAACAGUAAAUCUUCUGUUUAAGGUUGCUGAUUUCAUGCAGCUUUUUAAACUGCGUUCUACUUCCCACUGGUUUUCAAUUUAUUUUCAGUAUGCUUCAGUAUUUGUGGAGGUUUUAAUCCCUUUCGAGUUGAAAUGCGACUAUUAUAGUGCAGGAGAAGGCAGUGCUUGGACAUGGCUGACAGUACAAGUGCUUACUUGCUGCAACUAAUUUUCAUCAGUAUGGAUCCUUGUAUCUGAAUCCAACAUCAACAGCCAGUAUCAGUCAUGGGGAACUAUAGCAGAGUUCUAUCCAAACCAUUUUAGCAACUAGAGACGUUGGCUGAGAUUACGUUCUUCCUGCUGCUUCCUGAAAGGUGAAUGCUUUUUCUAAUCAUCUUGUGAUUUAAUUAUCAGAUCCCCUUUCUUUGUAUUUUCUCUCUUCUUGUUUUGACUAAGCCCUACUGACUUUGAAGAAACAAUGCAAAAUGUUAUGUCCACAUUCAGCCCAAUCAAAGUCUGUGACAUGCAUAUUUUCUUGUUUAUUUUGGUUAUAUAUUUUAAGAUUUUUACAAAUAUUUAGAAUAUUUUAAAACCCUGCUUAAAGUUAAAAGUAAUUCUUUUGUAGUCUGACUCUAAUGGUUUACUUAAAACGUAUUUGAGAAAGAGUUUGGUUUUACUUCCAAUUGCUCAAUUGAUGUUUCAGAAUUUCUAAAUCAUCUGUAUUUGCUUUUACUCUUAAAUGUACCGUCAAAUUAUAAAAUCAAACGACCAUACCAAGUGCCAACAAUAUGUUUUCUAGAAAUAAAAUAAUUCACAAAAAUAAACCACUGUAGGAAAGAUACUUCACAAAUAAGUGUCUUGUGAGGUUUAAGUUUCACUAAAAAAGGUAAAAAUUGAGAUAAUUCUAAUGCUGAAACCUAGUUUUGGGAAGGAGUGUGUAAUUCACAUGUUGAAACAUAGGUGUAUGGGUUACCUGUUAAAUUUCAAAGUUUAGUUUACUUUCAGUCCUGCCACAGGAAUAGUCCGGUGGCCAUAAAUCUAAAAAUAAAAUUAUUGCCAAGCCUUUCAUUUAAAUAUGCAAUUAAAAUGUUUUUCUUUGGACAAUUAUUUUUGGAAGAAUAAAAUACCAGUGUAAAAUUUAAAUUGAGCCAGCUGGUUUUAUAGAGUUCCAUGUCGUAAGAUAUAUUUGAAAAGCUUAAGUAGUCUUGCUUAAUAAUGGAGUAAGUUGGCUAGAAAGGAAGUAAGCUAGAUCAUUGUUCCUAUGAAAACUCAAGCAUAAAUUGGGGUCAUUGUUGGAGAUAUUGUAGAAUGUAUUUUUUCCCUGGAGGGGGGUUGGGCCAGAUUUUCUCAGAGAUUCCUUCUAACUCUGAAAGUCUAAGAGUUUAGUAAACUUCAGACUAAUACUUCAUGGAAUUUACCUUAACAGUUUCAGAAUGGGAAGCAUUUUGCGGGUGUUUAAUCAUUAUUCUGGAAAUAUAUCCCGAGUUGGGGCAAUAGAGGAAAAAUUCCUUUUCAUUGUCGUUAAAGGCAUGUUGACAGUAGAGGGAAAAAAAUGAGCUCCUGUAGCUCUGUAAAUGCUUUAUAAAAGCAGUUAUCCAUUUCAGGUUUCUCUUCUGUUUCUGCUGAUCUUCAAGGCCUUUUAAAUAGAAUGUGAGGAUCAUUUCCUGUCAUUAUUGGGUUUUGGAGUUUGACCUUCCCUCCAAAAAUGACUGUCCUGUGAUAACUGGCCAUGUGUGGUGACCAGUACCCUGUAGGAUCUAGAUGAUGACUGAUGGUGAAGAUUUUUCAAUUUUCAUUCCAGAAGAAAAACCUUGUGAUCAGAACCCUUUUGGGGGGAGAAGUGCCACCUGCACAGCCUCCCACUGUCCCCCAGCAUCCAUCUAGUUGAAGAGGAAAUCAUUGUUUCCCUGGCUGCCAAGGGUCCAUGAAGCACGUUAGACUGCCAGGAAGGGGUCUCGUUGACCCUAGAGUUGGCCUUGAUUUUUCUAAACCUGACACCAGAACUAGAAACAGCAAAACAAGAUGAAUUGAUUUGACUAAAAAGAAAUUUAUAAAAACUUUCUGAAGGCAAGACAAACCAACAUAAGCAAAAUUUUAAGGUUCCCUGCCUACACCAUCCGGAGCUGGCGCCUUUGGACCCCAAAAGCUGCAGUCGAAUGGGAGCUCUUUGCAGUCUGAUCUCCUGGGAGCCGAUGUGUGGAAGUAGACUGCUCUCCCCGAAGAGAUAAGGGGAAACAACAUGGUUAGUUUCCAAAAUACCCAGGGCUGUGGUCCUGCUCUGCAGGAACUCAUCACUCUGACAUUUGGGUUUGGGGGUUCCCAGUUCUCCUGAUGGGGGCCAAAGUAACACACCUCUUCUAGAGACUAAGGUGGGGCACAGCCCUGAAUCUUCCCUCAGUCACCUUCCUAAAGGGUCUGGGGCCAUUGGACAGGCCAUACAGAGCCUCGCGCGGGUCUGGGCUGGGACUGGCCACCCUGUACCCAUGAGGCACCACGGAAGUGAGCACUGGUUGUGACUUUCUCAGAACCUACACCCUCUAUUCACUCUAACUGAUGCUAGGUCUUUGCAUCCAGCUUCUUCGGAUAACCUGAAAGCCGACGCUGAGCAAUGAAUGAUCUAGGCAUUUCUGGAGACAGUGAUUGAUUUAUCAAGGUAACUGUCUGUGGUAGUUUUGGAGGCCCCAGAUAACCUUGACUCCGCAGGGGCUACGCAGCAUGGGGCCCACUUAGAAGGUAUGGCAUAACAAGCCCCAAAGCCCUACACUCCCCGGAACUUGCGUCUGCGGCUUAUGUAUUUUCGCAGCGCUCGUCUCUUACCAGAAAACACCAAAUGGCAGGAGAGGUGACUCGAGCCAAGGAUCCAGUGUCUGGUCCUAUUAGUGGAUGAACCAUAUUCCUGGGUGAACCAUGGUCCUGUGUAGCCUUCCCUGAUGUGGGUAAUGAGGAUGCUGAGAUCCACACCAUCCCUUGUCGUUGAAGAAGGGUCAGACAAUAAAUCCAUGAGGUCUUUAGAAGUGUUAUUUACAAUAAGAGUUGAAACAGAAGAAGAUUUUUUUUCCCCUUGGUCCCGCAAAAGCACAUUCACCAGAACUGCCUUGGUCUGUUCAGCCCGAGGAACCAGGGCUGGCUUGGUGGGGACCUGUCCUGGGUGAGGGGCUUAUUCAGGCCUCAGUGAAGGGAUGGGUUUAAAUCAAGGAAGAAUCAUGUAGACAGGGUUAAGAGCCAGAGAAGCCAUCCUGAGGAUCAGGUCAGAGGGUCAGGAAGGCUGUAGGCAGGGACCACGUUUGGGGGACAAGAAGAGGGGACAGACCAGACAGGUGCUUUGUAUGACAGAUGACCCGGGAGGCAGUGGUGUUGGAGGGGGGGACCUGUCUUAACAAGGGGGUGACCAUAGGGGUGAGGGCAGAUUGGCCAACUAAGAUAUGCCAGAGCAGACUGACCAGGAAAAUUCUAGAAAACCAAGGUUCUGUGAUAUUUUCCAUACAGAAAUAAAAUCCCUAAAAUUAGAGUUUGGUGUCUCCUCUUGCUGUGAGUAUUUUGUAUAACUUUGCAAAAGCCUGGUAAGUGCUGAUGAGUUACAUGGCUGCCCCCUCGUCCCCAGCACAGGCUUCCUUCUGGUGGUGCUCUGUGUGGUCUGAUCUCAAGUGGCCCAAGUAGCCGAGGGGCUACCCAGCCCCUGGGGCAUUAGCAGUGCAGUGUCCUGUCCUCAGACCGAUUUUUUCUGUGAGGAUAGCGAGCGUUUCCUUCUUGCCUUCCUCCUUACCUUUGAAUGGUAAAUCCCUUGUGCCAGACAAAACCUUCCCUCUCUGUUGGCACAGCUGAAAUACCUGUCGAUUUUGGGUCAUAGGGCAGAGGGGGUUGAGCGGGUGGCAGGAAGCUGUGAGUUACCGGGCCAGCCCCCUUGCUGGUACUGAAUCUGGAUUCCCACGGAGCCCAUCAGCUGCUUCUGUCGCCUUCCCCUCACUCCCUGCUGCUCUUCUAGCCCUUCUGUGAUUGUGGGAGUCCUUCAGCGAGGCCCCCUGUACCCUUUC